CCAUAGCGAUCAAAAAGGAAUUAGGCCCCUUUUAAUGGUCGUAAAAAGUUUCGGUGAACCCGAAGCUAGUCUAACUAAUGUGAGAGUGUAUUAUAGUUAGGCCAAAUUCUCAAAUUGCGGGAACAUCCUAAAACUAUUUCAACCAAGCAAGAACGGUAACGUAUUUUGUGGCGCAGGUAAUGACUCGCGGUAAGGUAAAAUCGAAAUGGAUGCACGAAAGGAAAUGGGUAAUCCGCAGCCAAGUUCGAGUUUAAUUCGAAUGGAGUUCAACGACUAGACGGGAAUUGGCGUCGAUAUAUAAACGCUUAAGGUAUAGUCUAACCCUUGAUGAAAAUCAUGA
rnacentral:ncRNA from 1 species